rnacentral:rRNA from 1 species
UACAGAGGGUGCAAGCGUUAAUCGGAAUUACUGGGCGUAAAGCGUGCGUAGACGGUUAUGUAAGUCAGAUGUGAAAGCCCCGGGCUUAACCUGGGAAUGGCAUUUGAGACUGCAUAGCUAGGGUGCGGAAGAGGGAAGCGGAAUUUCCGGUGUAGCGGUGAAAUGCGUAGAUAUCGGAAGGAACACCAGUGGCGAAAGCGGCUUCCUGGUCCAGCACCGACGUCAGGCACGAAAGCGUGGGGAGCAACACGAUGAUAGUACUACGUA